rnacentral:rRNA from 1 species
CCUACGGGAGGCAGCAGUGGGGAAUAUUGCACAAUGGGGGAAACUCUGAUGCAGCGACGCCGCGUGAGUGAAGACGUAUUUCGGUAUGUAAAGCUCUAUUAGCAGGGAAGAAAAUGACGGUACCUGAUUAAGAAGCCACGGCUAACUACGUGCCAGCAGCCGCGGUAAUACGUCGGGGGCAGGCGUUAUCCGGAUUUACUGGGUGUAAAGGGAGUGUAGACGGCAGCACAAGUCUGGAGUGAAAUGCCGGGGCUUAACCCCGGAACUGCUUUGGAAACUGUGUAGCUAGAGUGCAGGAGAGGUAAGUGGAAUUCCUAGUGUAGCGGUGAAAUGCGUAGAGAUUAGGAGGAACACCAGUGGCGAAGGCGGCUUACUGGACUGUAACUGACGUUGAGGCUCGAAAGCGUGGGGAGCAAACAGGAUUAGAUACCCCUGUAGUC